rnacentral:rRNA from 1 species
AUUGAACGCUGGCGGCAGGCCUAACACAUGCAAGUCGAACGAGUGGCGGACGGGUGAGUAAUGUCUGGGAAACUGCCCGAUGGAGGGGGAUAACUACUGGAAACGGUAGCUAAUACCGCAUACCAUCGGAUGUGCCCAGAUGGGAUUAGCUUGUCGGUGAGGUAACGGCUCACCUAGGCGACGAUCCCUAGCUGGUCUGAGAGGAUGACCAGCCACUCUGGAACUGAGACACGGUCCAGACGCCGACGGGAGGCAGCAGGGGGGAAUAGUGCACACGGGGCGCAAGGUUGAUGCAGCCAUGCGGCGGGUAUGAAGAAGGCCUUCGGGUUGUAAAGUACUUUCAGCGGGGAGGCGUUACUCGCAGAAGAAGCACCGGCUAACGCCGUGCCAGCAGCCGCGGUAAUUC